UUUUCACCUCUGAUGUGGAAAUGGGCACUCGCCUUCUUCAGUUUUGCCCUGGAACCAGUUUAUGUUGUUGGACAUGAUCUUUCUGGAUAUGACUCAGGUGACAAGGAUACUGAAGCAUAUCCACAUAUAGCAGAGCUGGGGAGCACAACUUUCCAUGGCCAUGCAUCAGGAGAAGGUUUCAGUGCCACAACAGAAA